CCCGCGCCCCUCCCCGGCGCGCUCCCACGCCCGGCGCGGGUUCCCAGGCCGCCCCCCCGCGGUGGCCCAGAGACCCAGUUUGCGGCGGCAAAACAUUGGUCUCCGGGCAACAGGCCCCGCCCGCCCUGGGGCGGCCCGAGCGAGCCCAGCCGCGCCGGGGCAGGGUGGCGGCGAGGCGGCUGGGCCCCGGCCUGGAGCCCGGGGCCCUCACCCUCCCAGAGGCCUGCAGGGCGCAGAGACCCGGAGACAGAGAGCCAGCAACUCGGACCUGGAGAUUCGGGGCCCCGGAGCAAGAAGCACGGAGAAAUUCGUGGAGGCUGAAGCCACAGGGAUCUGUCUGGGACGCAGUGAGGAAGAGAGAUCUGGAGACAAGCAAGGACGGGCCCCCACAAUAAACACAGAGAUAGCGAGCGAGAUGAACACAGACCACCCCAGGCCCGCAGGGACGCCUCUGAAGGCAGGAUAAUCUACCUCUAAUCGUCAGGGCCUUUGCAUUUCUGUCGCGGGGACUUCCCCUCUCUGACUCUCAGUUUCUGUGUCUGUAAAAUGGGUAGCACUUAGCGUUUAGGGCUGUUAGGACGAUUCAGUUAAUGCACCGACCUAGAGCUCGCAGCAGAGUUGUGGCACAUGCCAUCCGUCAUUCAUUCAUGCAACAGCUAUUUGUUCAGUACCUGUUCUAUGCCAGGCACUGUUGUAAGUCGUGGGUAUACAUCAGUGAAGGAGACAAAGAUCCCGGUCCUUCUGGGAGUGGGGAGGGAGGCGGUGAGCAACACAUAAGUGAAGCAAACUAUACAGCGCAUUGGAAAGUAGUAAGUGCUGGGGGAGAGGGGAGAAAUGGAGGGUUGGAUUUGCCAUUUUAUCUCCUUUCUUUCUUUCUUUCUUUCUUUCUUUCUUUCUUUCUUUCUUUCUUUCUUUCUUUCUUUUUUUUUCGGGAUUUGCCAUUUUCAGUAGGGUGGUCAAGGGAAGACCUACAGGAGAAGGUGAUGUUUGAGCAAAGACCCGAGGUGGGUGAGGGGGAAGCCAGGCAGAAGUCUGGGCUAAGAGCAUCUCAGUCAGCGGAAGCAGCAAGCCCAAAGGCCUUUAAGUGGAAACAGGUCUGGCGAGUUGGAGGAACAGGGAAGCUGGUGUGUGGUGGGAGCAGAGAGAACAGGGAAGGGGAGCGAGCGACAGAGACAGAGACAGAGACCCGGUCAGAGGGAUUAAAGACAGAUUGUGCAGGGAGGGCUUUAUGGGCCAUGGUGAGGCCUUCGACUUUUACUCUGAGUGAGUCAGGAGCCAUGGGGGGGGGGGGGUUUGAGCAAAAGAGGGACUUGAAAGCCUUUGAUUUGAACAGCAUCCCUGUGUCCCGAUGUGGGGAAUAGACUCUGGGAGGCAGGGAGACCAGUGAGGAGCCCCAGGCAAUGGUCCAGGCAAGGGGCAAUGAUGACUUGGAGGAGGGGGAGCAGGGAACAGAUUCUGGAAGUGUUUGAACUUAGAGCUGCAGAAUUUGCUGACAGGCACAUUCACGACAAGCCCUCAGUAGAUGGCAGCAGUUACCAUUAUGUUAGGUGGUGCUCAGGACAUCUCCAGAGAACUUGUCACCCCCUGCCCCGUUUUACAGAUGCAGAAACUGAGGCCCAAAGAGGCCACUCAACUUGCCUAGGGACUCACAGCUCAGUCGGGCUCCAAACACGGCACUUCUCUAUCAGGGUGGCUGUUGUCAAAUUCACAACACCCUCAGGGCCUUGGAGCUACGCUCAAACUCACCCGCGCGAGCCCCAGGACCCUCACUGGCCUUACCCGGUGGGUGUAGAGAAAGCGAGGGCCCGACCGGAGAACGCUGCCUGACUGGUGUUCAGGUUAUCAGCCAGUCACCCGUGCUGGCCCGGGACACUUGCUCAGAGGCAGGCAGCUACAUGCAGGGAGGGUCCACCCAGAACCUCCCAGUCCAGCAUCUGCCUCCCACACUUAAUCCCAGCACUGGCCCUGGCACACCCCAGCCGCUGCCUGCAGCAACCUGUUAAGCUGUCACACGCUCGCACGCAGACAGGUACAUGGCCCUCCACUGCAGAGACGCGUUUUUCAGGCAGCGUGCACAAAACAUAUAAUUUCUGUCUCUUUCUGUCUCUUUCCGUUCCCGUGUUUUUCUUUCCAUCUUUUUGACCCUAUCCUGUCUCUAUCUCUCUGUCUUGCUAUCUUUGCCUCUCUCUGACCCCACCCUCUCCCCCUCUCUGUCUUUCUCGUUCGAAUCUCCACACUCAGGAUCCGCUACCUGCCGUGGAGAUCACGCUUGUCCCUGGCCAUGUGUCUCCAUAGAACCUCACCUAUAAUGUGACAUCGAGUAUGUGGAGGCCCCAGAUAAGAGCAUCCGUUCAGAGAGCAGAGGCCCCAUCCCAACAUCACACGGUAGUCAGCUGUGAGGGGCUCCGUGCUGUCCACGAUCGAUCGGUGGAAUCCCUUUGGGAACAAGUUUGGGAGUCGAAUAAUAAAAUUAAAAAAAAAAAAAUCAGAUCCGGAGAGCGAUCCAGAAAUGAACAGAAACUCAGGACACAGAGACUCAGAAAAAGAAGGGGGGCCAGGGGAGGGCAGGGGCCCAGAAAGGGACCUAGGGGAACAGAGACAGUGACAGAGAUGCACAGAAAUACCGAAACAGAGAUAGAGAGAGAUAGGGGUCAGAAAGAUGCAGACAGAGAGGCACAUUAAGAGGCAGAGACUGAGGCGGCCAUUUAGGGGCAGGGAUACCCCAAGAGAGGAACAUUUGCUUUUCAAUGAGACAGUAUACACAUGGCCCACGUUUUAUAGGCCCUGCUUUCGAGAAGCAGCCUGUACCGUAGUUUGGCAAUUGCAAGCUUACCAAGCCAGGUCUCCUCCUCAGGCCCGGUAUGUAGGAUGCACAUUAAAUGCGUUUAUAUAACCUGCCCUCUGUGCAGAAUCUAGGAGCUUUACAUAACAUAGCCCCGUGAGUCAUGCUGCAGACAUGGGGCACUGACCUGACACACCCAACAAGAGGGGACCCCCUUACCCAGGGCCACUAUCUGGAAAUGACUCUGAGAUGUGGGAGAUCAUGGGUUUCACUGAGGAUGAAGUAGAGGUCAGAGGAGGGCAGGGCACUUGCUCUGGGUCACACAGCCAGGAUCCAGCAGCACAGGAAUUCCAACCAUAUCUGCCUGAUUUCAUAGCCUUUGCACCCCAAGGCACCGAGAAAGGCAAUGACUACCAAUGUGCCUCUUUCCAGAGGGGAGGAAAUAGACCGGUAAUAACACAACAGCCCCCCUGGGUAUUGAGUGCAUUGUGCCACAGGGAGUACUUUACAAACACCAUCUCAUUUAUUCCAAAGCCCGGUGAGGUAGGGACAGAAUCCAGCUAUUAAAUAAUAUAAUUAUAACAUAAUUAUACCCGUUAUAUACAGAGCACUAACACUGUACUAAGUGCUUAAGAGGACUUCAUACAGUCACAGCUCUGGAGGUGGGUGAUGUUAUCACCUCCAUUUCAGGAAGGGAAGAGGCUCGAAGAAAGGAAGUCAGGCCAAGGUCAUAGAGAGGGUAUUUGAACCCAGGUCUCUCUGGAUGGUUAUCGCUGCCACCCAUUCCCCGGGGGAUGUGCCCGCAGUGCAUCUAUGCACCGUGCAAUCGAUGUAACAUCUAACACUGACAUCUCAAAUACUUUAGUUCAAAUACCAAGAGCUCCUGCCUCAUCUUUCUCUGCUUGGGAGGACCUAACCCGGCCUCCGCUCCCCGACACUUCCCUGACGCCUGGAGUGGGACCCUCUCCUCUCCUUACAGCGCCUCAGUCUCGCCAAGUAGGCGCCUGUAAAGUGUUCCUGCCCCUUUAAGAGAGCGAACAGUCGGCCGGCGUUGCCCAGCAGCACCAACGUGGUUGCCAGGCAACGUCAACAAACGACGCGCCCGCCGUCUCCGCGUGCCCCCCCCUCCCGCCCGCGCAGACGCGGUGACGCGAAGGGCUGUGGAACGCUGUCGCUUAGCAACGGGAAGGCUGUUUGUCCCGGGCCCGGCUGCGCGGCCGCACAGGGCGCAACCAGGACCGGCCCGGGCGGACAGAUGGGCCGACCGGGAGCCCGGGGUGGGGGUGCCUGCGGUGAUGGGAGCGGGGGAGAACCGGGUCCCCAAAUUGCCGGUUUCCCUUUAGACAGCCGCCGUCUGCUUGUCGCCUGCUCCUCCUGUCUGACCCGGGACCGCCUCCGCUCGGGUAUCUGUUCGUCUGGGCCCCCUCCUCCCCGGCAUGUCUGUUUGUCCAGCGUCUCCCGCGCCGUGGCUGUCUCAUAUUCCCCCCAAACAAUAACAACCAAAAUAGGUACAAGCACA